rnacentral:rRNA from 1 species
UACGUAGGGCGCAAGCGUUGUCCGGAUUUAUUGGGCGUAAAGAGCUCGUAGGCGGUUUGUCGCGUCUUCCGUGAAAACUGGGGGCUUAACUUCCAGCUUGCGGUGGAUACGGGCUGACUGGAGUGCGGCAGGGGAGACUGGAAUUCCUGGUGUAGCGGUGAAAUGCGCAGAUAUCGGGAGGAACACCGGUGGCGAAGACGGCCUUCUGGACAGUGACUGACGCUGAGACGCGAAAGCGUGGGGAGCAAACAGG